CUUUGCCAGUGUGCGAUUGCCUCUCCCCAGUUUUGGGGAAGGGAGGAAAGUCCGGACACCACCCUGGAACAGAAAAGUCGCUAACGGCGACCCCUCGAUGUAUUUCGGGGAGGGAAAGUGUCACAGAGACAAUACUAAACUUUCUUGAGAGGCAUCUUAUGGUUUUCUCUUAGCAGGGAAGGAGAGCAGCGAGCUUGUCCUAACUCUGUCAGGAUGGGCUUUUGCCCACGAGUGUCGAGAGGAAACCGUAGGUUGCCUCUCGAGAUUGUUAAAAGGUGAAAAGCGGUAGGGUGUUGAAAUGUUGGAAAGCGGGCCAAUCCCGCCAACCGGCCUCCAAGCUACCUACCGGGCUCCGUCGCGAGACGGAUGUUCUGGUAAACCCUUUUCGGUGCAAGUUGGGCUGGACCGUUCAUAUCAAUUGGUUUGUUCCGGGCAAGGUAUGAAGGGGCCCCAACGCUUGAUCCUGUCAGCAAUGGCAGGGCUAGAUAGAUAAUCGCUAAAACAGAAUCCGGCUUACAGCUGGCAAAGAGCA
rfam:Bacterium GW2011_GWB1_52_7 VF00_C0002, whole genome shotgun sequence.